GACGAACGCUGGCGGCGUGCUUAACACAUGCAAGUCGAGCGGUAAGGCCCUUUCGGGGGUACGACGAGCGGCGAACGGGUGAGUAACACGUGGGUGACCUGCCCUCCAGCUCUGGGAGUAAGCCUCGGGAAACCGGGUCUAAUACUGGAUAUGACUCCAUGACGCAUGUUGUGGGGUGGAAAGCCUUGUGCGGCUGAGGAUGGGCCCGCGGCCUAUCAGCUUGUUGGUGGGGUGAGGCCUACCAAGGCGACGACGGGUAGCCGGCCUGAGAGGGCGACCGGCCACACUGGGACUGAGACACGGCCCAGACUCCUACGGGAGGCAGCAGUGGGGAAUCUUGCGCAAUGGGCGAAAGCCUGACGCAGCGACGCCGCGUGAGGGAUGACGGCC
rnacentral:rRNA from 1 species